rnacentral:rRNA from 1 species
AACGAACGCUGGCGGCAGGCUUAACACAUGCAAGUCGAGCGCCCCGCAAGGGGAGCGGCAGACGGGUGAGUAACGCGUGGGAAUCUACCCAUCUCUACGGAAUAACGCAUGGAAACGUGUGCUAAUACCGUAUACGUACUUCGGGAGACAGAUUUAUCGGAGAUGGAUGAGACCGCGUUGGAUUAGCUAGUUGGUGGGGUAAAGGCCUACCAAGGCGACGAUCCAUAGCUGGUCUGAGAGGAUGAUCAGCCACACUGGGACUGAGACACGGCCCAGACUCCUACGGGAGGCAGCAGUGGGGAAUAUUGGACAAUGGGCGCAAGCCUGAUCCAGCCAUGCCGCGUGAGUGAUGAAGGCCCUAGGGUUGUAAAGCUCUUUCACCGGUGAAGAUAAUGACGGUAACCGGAGAAGAAGCCCCGGCUAACUUCGUGCCAGCAGCCGCAGUAACAC